rnacentral:sRNA from 1 species
UUUUGUUUUCUCUUUAAUUUUUAAACUUUACAGGCCCCUUCACAGAUGUAGUCACUACAAAUCUUAAAUUGCGAAAUCCAUCGGAUAGAAAAGUGUGUUUCAAAGUGAAGACUACAGCACCUCGCCGGUACUGUGUGAGGCCCAACAGUGGAAUUAUUGACCCAGGGUCAACUGUGACUGUUUCAGUAAUGCUACAGCCCUUUGACUAUGAUCCGAAUGAAAAGAGUAAACACAAGUUUAUGGUACAGACAAUUUUUGCUCCACCAAACACUUCAGAUAUGGAAGCUGUGUGGAAAGAGGCAAAACCUGAUGAAUUAAUGGAUUCCAAAUUGAGAUGUGUAUUUGAAAUGCCCAAUGAAAAUGAUAAAUUGAAUGACAUGGAACCUAGCAAAGCUGUUCCACUGAAUGCAUCUAAGCAAGAUGGACCUAUGCCAAAACCACACAGUGUUUCACUUAAUGAUACCGAAACAAGGAAACUAAUGGAAGAGUGUAAAAGACUUCAGGGAGAAAUGAUGAAGCUAUCAGAAGAAAAUCGGCACCUGAGAGAUGAAGGUUUAAGGCUCAGAAAGGUAGCACAUUCGGAUAAACCUGGAUCAACCUCAACUGCAUCCUUCAGAGAUAAUGUCACCAGUCCUCUUCCUUCACUUCUUGUUGUAAUUGCAGCCAUUUUCAUUGGAUUCUUUCUAGGGAAAUUCAUCUUGUAGAGUGAAGCAUGCAGA